rnacentral:rRNA from 1 species
AAUGAACGCUGGCGGCAUGCUUUACACAUGCAAGUCGAACGAGAACGGACUUUAGCACGGUUAAUUUUUAAUUAUUAAAGUUAAGCGUGCUAAAGUUGUCAGCUAAGUGGCGCACGGGUGAGUAAUGUAUAGCUAAUCUGCCCUUUAGAAGGGGAUAACCACGGGAAACUGUGGCUAAUACCCUAUACUCCAUUAUAUCACAAGGUAUAAUGGGAAAUGUUUUUUCGCUAAAGGAUGAGGCUAUAUCCUAUCAGUUUGUUGGUGAGGUAAAAGCUUACCAAGACUAUGACGGGUAGCUGGUCUGAGAGGAUGAUCAGCCACACUGGAACUGAGACACGGUCCAGACUCCUACGGGAGGCAGCAGUGGGGAAUAUUGCACAAUGGGCGAAAGCCUGAUGCAGCAAUGCCGCGUGGAGGAUGACGCAUCUAGGUGUGUAAACUCCUUUUAUAUGAGAAGAUAAUGACGGUAUCAUAUGAAUAAGCACCGGCUAACUCCGUGCCAGCCGCCGCCGUAACAC